rnacentral:rRNA from 1 species
UGCGGAGGAUCAUUAU